rnacentral:rRNA from 1 species
UACGUAGGGGGCAAGCGUUGUCCGGAUUUACUGGGUGUAAAGGGUGCUCAGGUGGUUUUGUAAGUCAGAGGUGAACUUUCGGGGCUCAACCCCGGACCUGCCUUUGAUACUGCAAAGCUUGUGUACGGAAGAGGCUGAUGGAAUUUCUGGUGUAGCAGUGAAAUGCGUAGAUAUCAGAAAGAACACCAGUGGCGAAGGCGGUCCGCUGGUCCGGUACUGACGCUCAAGCACGAAAGCAUGGGGAGCAAACAGG